UAGCAUUAGAUAUGAAAUCAGGAUAAUUGAAGCACUAAUUACGUGGGAACUGAAUUACAACCACUACGUUCUAAUUUUCACCAUGCACCAAAGUUAUAUCUACAAACCACUUAUAAAAUGAGGCUGAAAUUACUGAAGCAUCUUAAACACAUGGUAGUAGCAAAAACGAAGUGUAGAAGCGAGAACAACACGCCAUUAAGAGCCUUAUUAAACCAAUACCUCAUGCCAGCAUUUUACCAAAGUACACACCAUUAUUAAACAAAUAAGUUCAACUAAUCAAUAAACCAAUUCUGAAAAAUAAUUAGCAAAUUUCUACUAAUUAACCAAUCAAGGUAACAACGUUACUGCAAUGUAUAAUAAGUUUAAACUUUAAUUCUGAAGCUCUCAUUUAAUACAUACAACUUCUCCUAGUGUUUUACCCAAAGAUGUCAACAAACAAAACAAUUGAUAACAGUAUGAAAUCAAAUCCUCAAUUAAUCUUGUAAUAAACACGACAACUUCAACACAUAACGACAACAGCACAAUCGCAUUGGGAAUAUCCUAGAAAAGAGCAUUACAACAUUCUAAUACCAACAACCAACAUGGACUAAUGCAACCGAGUUUGAAUCAAAACAGUGGCUGUAGCAAACAGCAUAAUAUCAAGAAGAAACACGACACGGACUGUUACCGUAACUAUAAACAAAUUUAAUCCUGCAGCAAGAAAAUGAUAUCGUUAACAUGUACCAAAUCCCUCGUAAAUAAUGCCAAACUGCUUCGAUACAACUCAAUAUGAAGUUCAAUAUUUCUAUGAAAUCACCAUGAUGCAAUUAGCAAGACUUAAAGAGAAUAAUAGUAACACAAAUACUGGAUAUAACAAUGAACAAAAUCCUUUCCCAAAAUUAAAUGUAAACAGCAUAAACUUAAAUUUAACGCCUUGACAGAAAUAUUACCCAAAUCGACCAAGCUAUCACUUUCUGUCCGCUGCUCUGAGUCUGUUGGGGCGUAUCGUCCUUCCUUCGCUGUUUGGGACGUCCCUUCGAAACUGAGUUUCUACCCGUGGCCUUCAAGUGCAAUUCACAACAGCUCAUAUGUUUCUCCCACUUGUACAGGUUCAAUAGCCUUCCUGGAAAUUGCUUUAAGGUUCAUUGAAAACUAAAAACAAGGUAUAAACCAAACAGAACUGCAACUCAAACGCGACGGUGACGAUGUAACGUUCGUCGGAAAGGUUUUUUUUGUGAAUUUCGAAAGGGACGAAAUGAAGUGAGGAUUUGGGGGUUUUGCAAGGCGGAGGUUAAUCGGUGUAUUUCGGCGGAUGAAAUGGGGAAGACGAUUGAUGGUUUAGAUGUUACGGCGUGGAGGUUGUAUGGUGUUCGUUGGGGUUUNNN
rnacentral:lncRNA from 1 species